GUUUGGUUAGUCCUAUACGAGCGAACCCUCGUCUAUAACGAUAAUUGUGUUAUAAUUCGACUCGAUAGAUCGCCUCGACCAGAUCGAGUGCCUAAACUAUAAUUGAAUUUUUCAAGGUGUUAUGUUACAAUAAUUCCGUCCCGUCGGUUUCAACGCAACGCGUUUUGUGUUGCUGCUGUGAGGGACGCUCCCGACCCGCGCUUCAUCCGAGUGGAGUGUAUAAUUCAUUUCUUCCCCCCCUAGCCUAGUAAAAUUAAUUAAUAAAUAGACCUGCCCUUAAUAAAUAAAUAAAUAAAUAAUUCCCCCCCCAGGGGGGGAAGGGACUAGGGGGGGAAGGGUAGAGGUCGAGCGCUCUGUCCCUCAAUGAUACUCUGAGUGAAGAGAAAUGUCACCCUCCUUACCUGUUUCCUUGAACUAUAAUUGUUACCGAUAGGACUCGACCUCGACUCUUCAUCUUCGACAGGUAGGAAGGGGAUAUUCAACUAGAAUUCUCCUCUCCCGUUGCGUGUAUAAUAAUUGUGAGAUGAGAACUAUAGUUCCGUAUCAACUAGAAUUCAUUCACUUCCCCAGUAAAAUACCCUAUUUAAUUUAAUUCCCUUCCCCCCCUGGGGGGGGAAGGGACUAGGGGGGGAAGGGUUAUUAUAAUUGAAUAGUUCGGCUUAGCUCGCGAUUAUAGAUAGAGAGGAGUGAACACCAUGCCCAGAAUGAACAGCUCGAGAUAUAACUUAAGUAAGGCCGAGGCAAGCUACGCUAUACCAGUUAUAGUUGUCCUCGUCCUCCUGUCGUUUACCCUGAGCGUUGUUACACCUUCCCCCCCAAUUACUCUUUUUUUGGGGGGGAAGGGAGAACUAGAAUUGUUGUUACAAUUAUUCUAUUCUUCAAGUUUCUCUUGGGAUAACAAUUAUUAUAGAACUUUCCAAGUCGGACGAGGGAUAGGGAAGGGGUGUUGAUGGCCGUCUCUUCUUACAAUAAUACUUCGAGUCGCGUCGCAAUUAUAGUUGGUUCUCAUCUGAACGGAGUGAAGAUGAGGAUAUAUGCACUUCGGUCGCGGCUCGCUAGAGGCAGGUCAUUUAUGCCAGGUCGAGGGA
rnacentral:rRNA from 1 species